CAAUUAAUAAAAAUCUACCAACAAUUGGAUGAAGAGUCAAGGCCGAUCGGUGUGCUGUAUUCAGGAGACUCAUCUCAUGUGCAAAGACACACAUAGCCUCAAAAUAAAGGAAUGGAGGAAGAUUUACCAAGCAAAUGGAAGGCAAGAAAAAAAAGGAGG